GAAGACGCUGGCGGCACGCCUCAUACAUGCAAGUCGAGCGCGAAACCACCUUCGGGUGAUGUAGAGCGGCGAACGGGUGAGUAACAGGUGGGUAAUCUGCCCUUUGGCGGGGGACAACAGCUGGAAACGGCUGCUAAUACCGCAUGUGAUUGUGGACUUAUGGUCUGCAAGGAAAGGCGCCUCAAAGCGCCACCAAAGGAUGACGCCCCGCCCCCCAUUAGCUAGUUGGUGAGAUAACAGCUCACCAAGGCAUCGAUGGGUAGCCGAGCUGAGAGGUUGAUCGGCCACACUGGAACUGAGACACGGUCCAGACACCGUACGGGUGGCAGCAGUAGGGAAUAUUGCGCAAGUGGGACGAAAGCCUGACGCAGCGAUGCCGCGUGAGUGACGAAGGUCUUAGGAUUGUAAAGCUCUUUUCUGAGGGAAGAAUAGGUCUGGUAGGAAAUGACUGGAUUCUGACGGUACCUCAGGAAUAAGGAACGGCUAACUCCGUG
rnacentral:rRNA from 1 species